AAUGAAAUAAUUUUGGACCCUCUUUUUCAUGACCCUCCCUCUCCUCUUCACGAUACCCACUCACAGCAUACUCUACGUUCAAAACACGUAAAACCCACAAAACCUUUUCACGGCUGCUAUUCACAGCUCUCUGUUCGUCUUCUCUCUACCGUCUGACGUUGUCUCUGUCCACCGUCACUCUUCUUUUUCACCGAUACCCAUACCAAAACGUAACGCACCUUAUUCAUCAUUCAAUCGAAAGCCAGACUGAAACGACGACUGCCGAAACGUAACCCACCCUGUUCGUCAUUCAACCCAAACCCACGCUGAAAUGACGACUGCCGAAACGUAACCCACCCUGUUCGUCGUUCAAUCGAAACCCACGUCGGAACGACGACUGUCGAAACAUAACUCGCCCUGUUCGUCGUUCAACCGAAACCCACGCCGAAACAACAACUGUCGAAACGUAAAACCCAUCCUGUUCGUCGUUUAAUCGAAACCCACGCAAAACUUUGUUCGUCGUUCUUGAGUUUUUUGAAUCAACGAUGUGGGUUUAAGGACUUCAAAUGAUCCAUUCCUUCAUGCCCAUAAUUGAAGAUAUGGAACUUAUUUACUGGUUCUAGUUAAUUUGUGAAGAAGGAGAACGGAGAGAGUGAAAAAAGUAAUUUUAUUACCCUUUUUAGUGUUUGAUGAGAGGUACGAGGUUUCAUCUUCUUUUGAUCUUCUAUGCUUGUCUGUUGGUGUUGGAAUUGAACUACUCCAUUUUGAUCCAUGGUUUUGAUUUUUUUUCUUUUUGUUCAAUCUUUAAUUGGAGGAAGAAGAUGAAGUGUGUGUUUGUGUUGUGUAUGUUUUGUUGGUGAGAAAAAGUAGAUAUUAUGGGAGAUGGGCAAAGAUGGUGGCUUGGUUUAUAUAGAGAGAACCUUGAACUUAUUUUUUUGUGGGUUUUAGUGAAUUUACUUUAAUACCCUUUUAAUUUUGGCAUAUAUCCAUAUUGUUCCUUCUUCAAAACCAUCUCCACCUUAGUUUUCUGUUAUUAAAAUCUCUAGAUGUUUUUUCUUUCAUGCUCUUUGUUUUCAUAUUUAUUUAAAUAUAAUAUGUCAAUUUUUAGUCCAAUUUUAAAAAUGAAAUCUAUUCUUUUAUGUAUUUUAGUUUGGGUGUUUUGAAAAUAUUAAUAUUGAAUGAAUAGAACCAAAACUUACGAGUAGAAUUAGUAUAACAUUAAUCUUUUAAAAUGAAAAAAUGACGUGAUUAUUAAAUAAGGUUGAAGUUUGUUUGUUUUUUGUGUUUUAAAACUAUGGUUGUUUUGAUCUCAUCAUUUAGAAAUGAUGUUCUUCAAAAAAAAUUUCUCUAGGUAUAUGAAAUUAUUAGUUUAUACAUGUGUGAAUAUAUAAUAAGUUCCCAGAAUCUUUUAUUUAUUUUUUUAACUAUCAUAAUAAGAUAUGGAAUAGGAUAGUGUUAGUAGAUGCUAGAAGUUCUUUUUGGAUGUUAUAAAGAGAUGCAUUUGUUAGAUUUGUUAUCUUAUAGAGUAAAAGCUUGAAGUUCAAAAAUAGUUUGUUGAUUAUUAUUAAAUCACUCAGACAAAUAAUGCAAUGAUUAGAACACCAUUCUUCACGCUUUUCACAUCAAGAAACACAUUUAGUUCUAUUCUCCUAUGGUGCUUGCAGACUUUAGUAGAGGUCAUCAUGAUCGUUUGCUUUGAUUCUCAUGGAUUCUGCCUAAUUUUCCUGUUUGACUCCAUAUUUUUUUCCCUUUUGUACCAUAAUACAUUCUAGUCAACGUGUACACACCUUAACUAAUCUCACAAACAUUUAAUCUUUUUCAUCUUUAAAUUGUCGUUUAUAUCUCUAUUAUAAUACCCAUGCUUUUCAUUAUAAUCAAUGACUCGUAAUCUCUAUUGCAUUUCCAUUUGUCAACCCAUUGAGUAAGAUUUAAGCAUCUUCAUUGUUUUAAAGCUAAAAGAAGUCAUGAUUAACACUAGUAUUAACUAUAUAGCUUAGAGUUUUUCCCCUCAUCUUUUCUAAUAUUGCAAACAUAAUGAAUCAUGAUAAUAAAUCUGAAUAUUCAGUGAGCAAUAUUUCUGUUGUUAUAUCCUUUA